rnacentral:rRNA from 1 species
CCUACGGGCGGCUGCAGUGAGGAAUAUUGGUCAAUGGGCGUAAGCCUGAACCAGCCAUCCCGCGUGAAGGAAGAAGGCCCUACGGGUUGUAAACUUCUUUUCUGUAAGAAGAAAAAGCUUGACGAGUCGAGAAAUGACGGUAUUACAGGAAUAAGCAUCGGCUAACUCCGUGCCAGCAGCCGCGGUAAUACGGAGGAUGCAAGCGUUAUCCGGAUUUAUUGGGUUUAAAGGGUGCGCAGGUUGUUUGGUAAGUCAGUGGUGAAAGUCUGUCGCUUAACGUCAGGAUUGCCAUUGAUACUGUUAAACUUGAGUAUGGAUGAGGUAUUCGGAAUGUGUAGUGUAGCGGUGAAAUGCAUAGAUAUUACACAGAACGCCGAUUGCGGAGGCAGGAUACUGGGCCAUUACUGACGCUGAGGCACGAAAGCGUGGGGAUCAAACAGGCUUAGAUACCCCUGUAGUC